UUCUGUCCUUCGACGAUCAUCCAC
rnacentral:sRNA from 1 species